UGGUAGCAUUGAAUGAAGAUUGGAUAUUCUAAGUUCACGUUUUAAAUUGUGAAGGUUUUAAAUUGGAUAUUCGUUUUCAUGUGUUUUGGGUUCCUGUUCUUCAUCUCUUAGUAAGUUGUUUAUGGUUAUGGUAUCUCUAGCUAAACAAUGGUUAAAAGAAGUGAAAAGUAUUAAGCAGAAACAGAAAAUAGACAACAUGUGAUUAGAAGAAAGUUAAGGAUAAUUUUCCUUCUGGUCUUUCUAUGUUAAUGUUUGUUAUGUGACAAAGAAAUGUUUGUUAUUCACAUUAGUAAGGUUUGUUUAUUAUGCUAAGCUUUUUUGUUUGUGAUUUAUGUCUUUGAUUAGGUAUGCAGUGAAAGAAAGUAGCAUUUCUCAUUCUAAGGAUAGUUCCAUGGAAAGGAAUUAAGGACUAAUUUGGGGAAAUGAGAUAAAGUAGUAGAACUCACUUUGAUUUCACAUAUGACUCUUUGUCAACAUAUUUAUUCAAAUUUGUGGCCAGUUAUGAAGGGUCAUUCAAGGUUUGUUUGUACAACCUGGAGAUACUUGAGGCAGCCAGCCAAUAAGAAGCGGCGCCUGCCUACGUUCACUUGGUUUACCACAAGCACCUUCACCUCCUACACAG